rnacentral:tRNA from 1 species
GAGGGUGUAGCUCAGUGGGAGAGCACAUGCUCAGCAUGUAGGAGGUCCUGGGUUCCAGCCCCAGUGCCUCCG